rnacentral:rRNA from 1 species
AACGUAGGGGGCGAGCGUUAUCCGGAAUCACUGGGCGUAAAGGGCGCGUAGGCGGAAAGACAAGUCAGAUGUGAAAUCCCGGGGCUCAACCUCGGAACAGCAUUUGAAACUAUCUAUCUAGAGGGUAGGCGGAGAAAACGGAAUUCCACAAGUAGCGGUGAAAUGCGUAGAUAUGUGGAAGAACACCGGUGGCGAAGGCGGUUUUCUAGCUUAUUCCUGACGCUGAGGCGCGAAAGCAAGGGGAUCAAACAGG